rnacentral:rRNA from 1 species
UGGGGAAUAUUGCACAAUGGGCGCAAGCCUGAUGCAGCCAUGCCGCGUGUGUGAAGAGGCCUUCGGGUUGUAAAGCACUUUCAGCGAGGAGGAAGGUGGUGAACUUAAUACGUCAUCAAUUGACGUUACUCGCAGAAGAAGCACCGGCGUAACUCCGUGCCAGCAGCCGCGGUAAUACGGAGGGUGCAAGCGUUAAUCGGAAUUACUGGGCGUAAAGCGCACGCAGGCGGUUUGUUAAGUCAGAUGUGAAAUCCCCGGGCUCAACCUGGGAACUGCAUUUGAAACUGGCAAGCUAGAGUCUCGUAGAGGGGGGUAGAAUUCCAGGUGUAGCGGUGAAAUGCGUAGAGAUCUGGAGGAAUACCGGUGGCGAAGGCGGCCCCCUGGACGAAGACUGACGCUCAGGUGCGAAAGCGUGGGG